AUUGAACGCUGGCGGCAGGCUUAACACAUGCAAGUCGAGCGGGGGGAAGGUAGCUUGCUACCUAACCUAGCGGCGGACGGGUGAGUAAUGCUUAGGAAUCUGCCUAUUAGUGGGGGACAACAUUUCGAAAGGGAUGCUAAUACCGCAUACGCCCUAAGGGGGAAAGCAGGGGAUCUUCGGACCUUGCGCUAAUAGAUGAGCCUAAGUCGGAUUAGCUAGUUGGUGGGGUAAAGGCCUACCAAGGCGACGAUCUGUAGCGGGUCUGAGAGGAUGAUCCGCCACACUGGGACUGAGACACGGCCCAGACUCCUACGGGAGGCAGCAGUGGGGAAUAUUGGGCAAUGGGGGGAACCCUGAUCCAGCCAUGCCGCGUGUGUGAAGAAGGCCUUUUGGUUGUAAAGCACUUUAAGCGAGGAGGAGGCUACCGAGAUUAAUACUCUUGGAUAGUGGACGUUACUCGCAGAAUAAGCACCGGCUAACUCUGUGCCAGCCGCCGCGGUAAAAC
rnacentral:rRNA from 1 species